rnacentral:rRNA from 1 species
UUCUUGGUCAUUUAAGAGAAGUAAAAGUCGUAACAAGGUUUCCGUAGGUGAACCUGCGGAAGGAUCAUUACCGAAUCGUUGACACGAGUUGUUGCUGGUCUCUCGAAAGGGGGGCACGUGCACGCUCUGUCUACACAUCCACUCACACCUGUGCACCUUCUGUAGUUCUAUGGGUUUGGGAGGCCUCGCCUUUCCUCCGUAGUUCUAUUUUUUCACACACACGCUGUAAUAAAGUUUUAUGGAAUGUAUCUUGCGUUUAACGCAGUAAAGUACAACUUUCAGCAACGGAUCUCUUGGCUCUCGCAUCGAUGAAGAACGCAGCGAAAUGCGAUAAGUAAUGUGAAUUGCAGAAUUCAGUGAAUCAUCGAAUCUUUGAACGCACCUUGCGCCCUUUGGCUAUUCCGAAGGGCAUGCCUGUUUGAGUAUCAUGAACACCUCAACUCUCAUGGUUUUCCAUGCUGAGCUUGGACUUUGGGGGUUUUGCUGGCCUUUUUCCAGCUCCUCUCAAACGAAUCAGCUUUCCAGCGAUUGGUGGCAUCACGGGUGUGAUAAAUAUCUACGCUUGUGAGUGUCUGCCAAGCAAUCUCCAGCGAUGGAGGUUCGCUGGGGCUCCCAAAUGUCUCUCCUUUGCGAAGACAGCUUCUUUGAAUGUUUGAUCUCAAAUCAGGUAGGACUACCCGCUGAACUUAAGCAUAUCAAUAAGCCGGAGGAAAAAGAAACUUACAAGGGAUCCCCCUAGUAACUGGCGAGUGA